AAUUCUAGAGCUAAUACAUGCAACCAGUCCGUACCCUCGUGGUGCGGACGCAGUUAUUUGCCCAAGACCAAUCCGGCCCUCGGGUCGGGCAAUUGGUGACUCUGAAUAACCGAAGCAGAGCGCGUGGUCUCGUACCGGCGCCAGAUCUUUCAAGUGUCUGACUUAUCAGCUUGUUGUUAGGUUAUGUUCCUAACAAGGCUCUUACGGGUAACGGAGUGUCAGGGCCCGACACCGGANAGGGAGCCUGAGAAACGGCUACCACAUCCAAGGAAGGCAGCAGGCGCGCAAAUUACCCACUCCCGGCACGGGGAGGUAGUGACGAAAAAUAACGAUGCGAGAGCUUUUAGCUUCUCGUAAUCGGAAUGGGUACACUUUAAAUCCUUUAACGAGGAUCUAUUGGAGGGCAAGUCUGGUGCCAGCAGCCGCGGUAAUUCCAGCUCCAAUAGCGUAUAUUAAAGUUGCUGCGGUUAAAAAGCUCGUAGUUGGAUCUGGGUAGUCNAUGGACGGUGCUCCUUACGGAGCUACUGUUCGUUCGGCACCACAGCCCGGCCAUGUCUUGCAUGCUCUUCACUGAGUGUGCUUGGCGACCGGAACGUUUACUUUGAAAAAAUUAGAGUGCUCAAAGCAGGCGUUAAGCCUUGUAUAAUGGUGCAUGGGAUAAUGGAAUAAGAUUUUUGGCUUGUUCUGUUGGUUUUAGAGUCAGAAGUAAUGAUAAAUAGGAACAGACGGGGGCAUUCGUAUUGCGGCGUUAGAGGUGAAAUUCUUGGAUCGUCGCAAGACGCACUACUGCGAAAGC
rnacentral:rRNA from 1 species